rnacentral:rRNA from 1 species
AACGAACGCUGGCGGCAGGCUUAACACAUGCAAGUCGAACGCACCUUUCGGGGUGAGUGGCAGACGGGUGAGUAACGCGUGGGAAUCUACCCUUCUCUACGGGAUAGCUCCGGGAAACUGGAAUUAAUACCGUAUACGUCCUGAGGGUGAAAGAUUUAUCGGGGAAGGAUGAGCCCGCGUUGGAUUAGCUAGUUGGUGGGGUAAAGGCCUACCAAGGCGACGAUCCAUAGCUGGUCUAAGAGGAUGAUCAGCCACAUUGGGACUGAGACACGGCCCAAACUCCUACGGGAGGCAGCAGUGGGGAAUAUUGGACAAUGGGCGCAAGCCUGAUCCAGCCAUGCCGCGUGAGUGAUGAAGGCCCUAGAGUUGUAAAGCUCUUUCAGAGGGGACGAUAAUGACGGUACCCACAGAAGAAGCCCCGGCUAACUUCGUG